rnacentral:rRNA from 1 species
UACGGAGGGUGCGAGCGUUGUCCGGAAUCACUGGGCGUAAAGGGCGCGUAGGCGGGUGCUCAAGUCUGUGGUGAAAUCCUCCGGCUCAACCGGAGAACUGCCAUGGAUACUGGGUGCCUCGAGGGUGGUAGGGGUAUGCGGAACUAUCGGUGGAGCGGUGAAAUGCGUUGAUAUCGAUAGGAACUCCGGUGGCGAAGGCGGCAUACUGGACCACUUCUGACGCUGAGGCGCGAAAGCCAGGGGAGCAAACGGG